rnacentral:lncRNA from 1 species
AUGACAUUUGGCAUUUUUCCAGCUCUGGGCUGUGACGCUGCAGUUCUGCUUCCAAGGACCUUUACUGGGGGUAGGAUGAGAGCAGAGACAGACCCGCAAGUGACAUGGAAGAGUAGUGGUGACAGAGUCCAGAGCUUAUGUUCGGAAGGUAACAGUGACUGUGUUACUGAAUCCAAGCUUGGUCUGCUUGCUGUGCAUGAGUGCUGUGUGCUAAGUCUCUUCAGCUGUGGCCGACCCUUCAGAACCCUGUGGACUAUAGCCCGCCAGGCUACUCUGUCUGUGGAAUUUUCCAGGUGAGAAUACUGGAGUGGGUUACCCUGCCCUCC